rnacentral:lncRNA from 1 species
CCCCGCCCAGGCCGGACUGGGCAGAGCCGAGGCCCUCCGCUCCGAGCACACGCUCCCCAGCCUGGUGCCGGCCCGAGAUGCCGGCGGGACCACACGCCCCCUCCCCUCCCGGAGUCCCCAGGCCUCCAGGAGUCCAGAGAUAACCUCUGCUUCCGUUUCGGCGCUAUGAGGGUACGGGACCGAGGAGUGGGCCGCGACUUUGCUUUACUUAUCCCUCUUCCACCCUACAGCUCCCCUUCCCGCUAGAAUCUUCCCGCAUCCGCUGACCCCUUAAACUUUUAUGUGCGCCCUGCGUGGAUCUCCAACCUCAGGAGCCGGGGACUAAUGGGGGGAACUAGAGCUUGGGAAGGGGACAGUGCGGGGUGUCACAGGGAAGGCACCCCAGCACUCCCACCAACAGAAACUCCCGAGGACUCCAGCUGGCUGGAGGGAACGUCCCGCGAACGUCUGCGACCCGCUUCAGCAAGCGUGACUGAAUAUUAAAGCGUGACUAUCUUAUUGACCCAUUUCCCAGAUAGGCACACUGAGGCCAGAGCGGGGCGAACGCUUUUCGGACCGUGGUGGCGGGACAGCGACGUUUUCCAGCUAAAGCCUGGCUGGAAACAUUAGAAGGG